rnacentral:lncRNA from 1 species
AAAAAAAAAAAUAUAAACAACGGUCUUUGAACGUUGCGAAAGGGGGUAUUAGCAACAACCACUCAAAGAACGUUGCUAAAUCUUACUUUUCUCAACCAAUGGCAACAUGCAUUUGCUGAAUGUUGCAAUAAAUCUCUUUUAGCAACAUACAAUUGGUGAAUGUUGCCAUUGAAAUGUUGUAAAAAGUCAUUUUUCUUGUAGUG